rnacentral:tmRNA from 1 species
GGGGGUGACUGGCUUCGACAAGGAAAUCGACAUACGUGUGCGCGGGUAAAGCUGUAGUUGCUUUUCAAACCGCUACACAAAUUCAAGUGCGAACAAAGUAGCAUUUGCGCCUGCGUACGCUUAAACGCUGAACAGGCCGUCCUCGGAUAGUUACGCUUGAGUAAAAUCCGUUUGGGCGUCACUUCUCUCAAGCACUGAUGUCGUUUGUCCGGGCUACAUCUAAGACAAGGACUCGGCUCUGCGCGAUUCUGUUCGUCUCCUACGCGCAGUGCUUAAACCUAAGAUGAUCUAGGCCUCGUAGAAACACACGUACUGUUUUUCCUUGGACGGGGGUUCGAACCCCCCACCUCCACCA